rnacentral:rRNA from 1 species
AUCACUAAGCGGAGGAAAAGAAACUAACCAGGAUUCCCCUAGUAGCGGCGAGCGAACCGGGAGAAGCCCAGCUUGAAAAUCGCGUCGCUUGCGCGGCGCAGUUGUAGUCUGGAGAAGUGUCCUCUGCGGCGGACCCGGCCUAAGUCCUCUGGAAAGGGGCGUCAGAGAGGGUGAGAACCCCGUCGGGCCGGGACCCUGCCGCUCCACGAGGCACUGUCGACGAGUCGGGCUGUUUGGGAAUGCAGCCCUAAGUGGGAGGUAAAUUCCUUCCAAGGCUAAAUACGGGCGGGAGACCGAUAGCGAACAAGUACCGCGAGGGAAAGAUGAAAAGGACUUUGAAAAGAGAGUUAAAAAGUGCUUGAAAUUGCUGGGAGGGAAGCGAAUGGAGGCCUCGUGUGCGCCCCGGUCGGAUGCGGAACGGCGCGAGCUGGUCCGCCGCUCGACGCGGGGCGCUGGUCGGCGUGGGCUUCUCUGGCGGGACAAAAGUGCCCCUUCGUGGGCCGGCCGAUGCCGUCGGGGAGGCCGAGGAACCGAAGCGCGCGUCUUCGGACGGGGCCCCUCCGGGGUCACCUGCGUGCUCGGGACGCGGCGUAGUGGGCUU